AGCAGCCGCGGUAAUUCCAGCUCCAAUAGCGUAUAUUAAAGUUGUUGCAGUUAAAAAGCUCGUAGUUGAAUUUCGGGAUCAAUAUGCUGGUCGUGCCUUCGGUACGCACUGGUAUUAUUGGUUUCUCCUUUCUGAUGAAUCGCGAUGUCAUUAAUUUGGUGUCGUGGGGAAUCAGGACUGUUACUUUGAAAAAAUUAGAGUGUUUAAAGCAGGCUCACGCUUGAAUACAUUAGCAUGGAAUAAUGAAAUAGGACGUUUGAUUCUAUUUUGUUGGUUUCUAGGAUCGACGUAAUGAUUAAUAGGGAUAGUUGGGGGCAUUAGUAUUCAAUUGUCAGAGGUGAAAUUCUUGGAUUUAUUGAAGACUAACUACUGCGAAAGCAUUUGCCAAGGAUGUUUUCAUUAAUCAAGAACGAAAGUUAGGGGAUCGAAGACGAUCAGAUACCGUCGUAGUCUUAACCAUAAACUAUGCCGACUAGGGAUCGGAUGAUGUUAAUUUUUAAUG
rnacentral:rRNA from 1 species